rnacentral:rRNA from 1 species
AUUGAACUCUGGCGGCGUGCCUAAUACAUGCAAGUCGAGCGAAGCGGGGACGGGUGAGUAACACGUCGAUAACCUCCUAUAAGACUGGGGUAACUUCGGGAAACCGGAGCUAAUACCGCUACUUAUAGAUGGAUCCGCUCUGCAUUAGCUAGUUUGUAAGGUAACGGCUGACCAAGGCAACGAUGCAUAGCCGAACUGAGAGGGUGAUCAGCCACACUGGAAGUGAGAAACGGUCCAGACUCCUACGGGAGGCAGCAGUAGGGAAUCUUCCGCCAUGGGCGAAAGCCUGACGGAGCAAUGCCGCGUGAGUGAUGAAGGUCUUCGGGUCGUAAAACUCUGUUAUUAGGGAAGCGGUACCUAAACAAGAAGCCACGGCUAACUACGUGCCAGCAGCCGCGGUAAUUC